rnacentral:rRNA from 1 species
AGCUCCAAUAGCGUAUACUAAAGUUGUUGCAGUUAAAAAGCUCGUAGUUGGAUUUCUGGUCGUGGCAACCGGUCCGCCCUUAACGGGGUGUGUACCAGGUUUCUGCGUCCAUCCUCGGGGGGAACGUGCCUGGCAUUAAGUUGUCGGGUACGGUAUCCUCGUCAUUUACUGUGAGCAAAAUAGAGUGUUCAAAGCAGGCUUAGGCCGUUGAAUAUAUUAGCAUGGAAUAAUAAAAUAGGACCUUGGUCUAUUUUGUUGGUUUGUAUUCCAAGGUAAUGAUUAAUAGGGAUAGUUGGGGGUAUUCGUAUUCAAUUGUCAGAGGUGAAAUUCUUGGAUUUAUGGAAGACGAACUACUGCGAAAGCAUUUACCAAAUAUGUUUUCA